CAGCGCCGCCGUGUUCACGCCGUAGCCCUGGCUGUACAAGUUCCCGUACCCACAAGCCCCACCUGUAACGGUUUUUCCACGAGUGAAAAGGCAGAUCUCGACCGAAAAUGUGAUUUAACAGGUUAAUACUUAAACGUCAUCCGCUUGGACACUAAUAUUGCAGAAUCUCCGAAACCGGACCGGACUUCAGUUGAACCGGGUCGGACCUGUUGUCGGUCCAAUUUCUUUACCGGUUCACUUUACCGAUCCGGUUCGAUAUUCUGACGAGAGAGUUUCGAGGACUCUCAUGACCAGCAUUACUCGGAGGAGAUGGGAGGAGUGUCUAGGUCGGGUUAC